AAUGCCCGAAUCCUGACACAGGGAGGUAGUGACAAGAAAUAACAAUACAGGGCUACUUCUAGUCUUGUAAUUGGAAUGAGUACAACUUACAUCUCUUCACGAGGAUCAAUUGGAGGGCAAGUCUGGUGCCAGCAGCCGCGGUAAUUCCAGCUCCAAUAGCGUAUAUUAAAGUUGUUGCAGUUAAAAAGCUCGUAGUCGGAUUUCGGGGCCUGCCGAGCGGUCUGCCGAUGGGUAUGCACUGUUCGGCGCGUCCUUCUUUCCGGAGACUAAUUCUACUCUUAACUGAGCGGAAUUGGGAGACGGAUCGUUUACUUUGAAAAAAUCAGAGUGUUUCAAGCAGGCAGCUCGCUCUUGCAUGGAUUAGCAUGGGAUAAUGAAAUAGGACUCUGGUGCUAUUUUGUUGGUUUCGAACACCGGAGUAAUGAUUAACAGGGACAGUCAGGG
rnacentral:rRNA from 1 species